GCUCUGGUAGUUUAUGUAGAAUUUAGGUUUGUGGCGCCUAAGGUGAAGGUUUUCCUUGAGCC
rnacentral:tRNA from 1 species